CGCCACCCCGCUCGGUACGCGCACUGCCACCAGCCGUGCCCGUGACCCGAGCUCGCCACCACCGCCUCGCGCUCCGACCGUUACCGUCUCCAGAGUGACAGGGGGGUCGACCAAUCAGCAACAGGCAACCGUGGAGGAGGCUGGCCCAAGUGGUCGGGUUGCGUCAUUUUCCAGCGCCGCCAAUCACGCGGCGAUCGCAUGGAUCGAUCGAUCAGUCCAGGGAAACCCUGUUGGCUUUCUCAAUGGCAUUCUGACAGUUAGUGAAUUCAUUGCAGGCUGUGGAGGGAAGCUGAUUCUAUUGCUGACCAUUCCUUCAGGUGGAUGCAAUAGAGACUGAAGUGUUCAGUUUUGUGCACUGAGGCUUAUGCAGGGUGACAGCGCAGAAGAGUGUGCAGAAAUACAGAAGAGUAAGAAUGCAGAAGACCCACUGCCCAGCAUGUUGUGGGGACUGGACCCAGUACAUGGAGUAUUUGCAAAACUCUACAUCAAGGACAUCCUGGAACUUAAGAAAUCAUGUCCUAUUCCAGAUUAAUGACUGAAGAUGGCCCUCUGGUGUGGAGAUCAGAUAUUGCAGCAGCAUCACCCUAAUCUGGAAACCUGUGUUUGGGAGAUGGUGGUGUUGGACUGGGGUG